UGCGUAGGUGGCAGUGCAAGUCAGAUGUGAAAGGCCGGGGCUCAACCCCGGAGCUGCAUUUGAAACUGCAUAGCUAGAGUACAGGAGAGGCAGGCGGAAUUCCUAGUGUAGCGGUGAAAUGCGUAGAUAUUAGGAGGAACACCAGUGGCGAAGGCGGCCUGCUGGAUGUUACUGACACUGAGGCACGAAAGCGUGGGGAGCAAGCA
rnacentral:rRNA from 1 species